ACCAGACUCCUACGGGAGGCAGCAGUGGGGGAUAUUGCACAAUGGGGGAAACCCUGAUGCAGCGACGCCGCGUGGGCGAAGAAGUAUUUCGGUAUGUAAAGCCCUAUCAGCAGGGAAGAAGAAAUGACGGUACCUGAGUAAGAAGCACCGGCUAAAUACGUGCCAGCAGCCGCGGUAAUACGUAGGGGGCAAGCGUUAUCCGGAUUUACUGGGUGUAAAGGGAGCGUAGACGGCGGUGCAAGCCAGAUGUGAAAGCCCGGGGCUCAACCCCGGGACUGCAUUUGGAACUGUGCUGCUAGAGUGUCGGAGAGGCAGGCGGAAUUCCUAGUGUAGCGGUGAAAUGCGUAGAUAUUAGGAGGAACACCAGUGGCGAAGGCGGCCUGCUGGACGAUGACUGACGUUGAGGCUCGAAAGCGUGGGGAGCAAACAGGAUUAGAUACCCCUGUA
rnacentral:rRNA from 1 species